rnacentral:lncRNA from 1 species
GUGAAUAUAACCAGUUAGAUGGGUUAGAAAACACAGAUCAAUUUAACUAUUGCAGUAUUCUGAAAAUAAUUACAUGGUACUGAAAACUAAGGAACCAUUAAAAAAAUGUGUCAUUUACCCUCACACAACUUUAAAAUUCUGAGUUACAUAACUUGUAAAAUCCAGUGGUGCACGCAUAUGGCUAGUAAGAGUAGAAGCCUGAGAAAGAGCGGCUGGCACCAGGUUUGCUCACUUUGUUCUUCUCUUCCGCAUGCAUGCUUUGUAUGCAUCUCAUCAUCAUGGCAAUAUCCAGAGAUAGCACUUACUGUCAUGUUAGUUUACUUACCAGAGAUAGCACUAUUCAUGAGAUUCCCAAGAUAAACAAACACACCAAGUUCCCAUGCAGCAGGUGCAGGGCGUGCUUCAUUCACCAUUGAAUUUGAUGAGAUUAUGUCAGAGAAAGUAACUAUUAGAGACCAUGUGACAGAAUUUUUCAUCCGGUCUACAAGUAAAACCAUAGUGAAAUCCUCUCUCAAAUAUAGAUGGAUGGGUGGGUGGGUGGAUGGAUGAUGGAUGGGUGGGUGGAUAGAUGGAUGGAUGGAUAGACAGAGCCAGCCAACCAGCCAACCUGGGCUAUAUAAGCCCUAUCUCAAAUAAGCAAAACCAAACCAAAAAUUAUAUAAAUUGUUAGCUGUUAAUAUCUUCUAGUUUAUGCAUAUAGAAUAAAUUCUAGCUUAGUUACUAAAUUCUUGAUAAUUGAGGUUAAUUACAAAGUAUUAACACAAACAAAUAUACUAUCUUCUGUAGUUUAAUUUGGUUUAAAUAAAAAUAGAUGUGAAUAGAAAUUAACAUCAAAUUUAUGAACAUCCAUGUAUGUUCUACCAAUGUUAUAAGAGAAGAAAACUGUUUAACUUUUCUAACAUGAUAAAAUUCCUUAAAAUUAGAGACACGAGCUCCAGGGGGUACUGGUUAGUUCAUAUUGUUGUUCCACCUAUAGGGUUGCAGAUCCUCCCCCCCACCCCCCAGCUCCUUGGGUACUUUCUCUAGCUCCUCCAUCGGGGGCCCUGUGAUCCAUCCAAUACCUGACUGUGAGCAUCCACUUCUGUGUUUGCUAGGCCUCGGCAUAGCCUCACAAGAGACAGCUAUAUCAGGGUCCUUUCAGCAAAAUCUUGCUAGUGUGUGCAAUGGUGUCAGCGUUUGGAGGCUGACUUUGGGAUGGAUCCCCGGGUAUGGCAGUCUCUAGAUGGUCCAUCCUUUCAUCUCAGCUCCAAACUUUGUCUCUGUAACUUCUUCCAUGGGUGUUUGUUCCCAAUUCUAAGAAGGGGCAAUGUGUCCACACUUUGAGAGCUCGUGUCUCUAGCUGCAUAUGUAUCAGAAGAUGGCCUAGUCGGCCAUCAGUGGAAAAAGAGGCCCGUUGGUCUUGGAAACUUUAUAUGCCUCAGUACAGGGGAAUGCCAGGGCCAAGAAGUGGGAGUGGGUGGGUAGGGGAGUGGGGGGGGGGGCGUAUGGGGAACUUUUGGGAUAGCAUUGAAAAUGUAAAUGAAGAAAAUACGUAAUUAAAAUAAAAUAAAAUUUUAAAUUAAAAAAAAUUCCUUAAAUUAUUCCACUAUGAAUUUGAAAGGGACCACUGGUCUUGAAAUAAAUCUCUAUCACAUACUAAAAUUUCCACAUAAUCUAACUUUAAUUUUAUAACUGCUAUUAAAAAAUUAAACCAUUUGUCUUAAGUCACUAUGGAAUGUAAUAUCUAUAUCACUACCUUUUUAGAGAAAUCUAAGAACAAUUUAAGUUUUUCCUUUAUUAUUGAGAAUCAUCAUUAAGUUAUUGAACAAUACCUUACAGUAGUGUUCCCCAGAGCCUGAGCCUCUCAGGUAUGGGGAUACUAUGUUUUCAAGGCCAAUUACCUGCUCGUGAUUUUCAUCUUACCUCUCUGCUUGCUGUAAUAAUUUCUCUGAGAUACUUUGACUUUUCAUUGGUAAACCCAAUGGAAUUAAUUUUGAAAAGAAUAAUUUUUACUUUGUGUAUUUCUAUUCUUAAAUAUUCUUAGACUUUUUAUAUUUUUUUGACAGUAUGAACAUGGCUAUCAUGAUUAUUACUAUUUUAGUAAUGGAGCCUUAUAUCCUUUUACCUUAUAUAUCUUAUAUAUCAUACCCCACAUACUUAAUGACAAGACUAUUGCUCUCAUUCUGUAACAUAAAAGAUUUUUAUAAUUUCAUAUUUAAUAUAUAAUGACAUCAAUUAUAGCACCUAAUGAAUUGUACAGAGAUGUAAUAUUUGAAGAUAUUUCAGAAGACUAAAUACUUUGUGUAAUUUUUAAAAACUGAUUAAAAACAGCCUACUUUGUCUGUAUUACCUUUUCUCCCCAGUAAAUUGUAAUUGAUUUACUA